ACAGGGCCUAGAUGUCUUGGAAAAUUCGAAAAUAUCGGAUGGAAAAACUGCUAAAUGCAGCAACGGUAAUCGAACAAUGAAAAAACUUAAUAAUGGAAUGGAGAUAAUGGAUACAGAGAUAACCCUUCUGUCAACGGAGAUGAUUCAGGGAUCAAGGUCUGAAAGUGACGCAGCGAACGAUUAUUUCACGAGACACCCUCUCAUGCGC